rnacentral:rRNA from 1 species
AGGACGAACGCUGGCGGCGUGCUUAACACAUGCAAGUCGAGCGGUAAGGCUCCUUCGGGGGUACACGAGCGGCGAACGGGUGAGUAACACGUGAGUAAUCUGCCCUUCACUUCGGGAUAACCACCGGAAACGGUGGCUAAUACCGAAUACGACCAGCCUUCGCAUGAGGUGCUGGUGGAAAGUCUUUUCGGUGAAGGAUGUGCUCGCGGCCUAUCAGCUUGUUGGUGGGGUAAUGGCCUACCAAGGCUUCGACGGGUAGCCGGCCUGAGAGGGUGACCGGCCACACUGGGACUGAGACACGGCCCAGACUCCUACGGGAGGCAGCAGUGGGGAAUAUGGACAAUGGGCGAAAGCCUGAUCCAGCAACGCCGCGUGAGGGAUGACGGCCUUCGGGUUGUAAACCUCUUCAGUAUCGACGAAGCGCCCUGUCGGUGGUGACGGUAGAUACAGAAGAAGGACCGGACCAACUACGUGCCAGCAGCCGC